rnacentral:tRNA from 1 species
CGGUUAGCUCAGUGGAAGAGCGCUUGCCUUACAAGCAAGAUGUCGACAGUUCAAAUCUGUCACC